AGUAAUGCAUAGAUAAUGUGCCCCUUAGUUCGGGAUAGCCACUGGAAACGGUGAUUAAUACCGGAUACUCCUUCUUGUUAUAAGACAAGUCGGGAAAGUUUUUCGCUAAGGGAUCAGUCUAUGUUCCAUCAGCUUGUUGGUGAGGUAAUGGCUCACCAAGGCUAUGACGGAUAUCUGGUUUGAGAGGAUGAUCAGACACACUGGAACUGAGACACGGUCCAGACUCCUACGGGAGGCAGCAGUGAGGAAUAUUGCACAAUGGAGGAAACUCUGAUGCAGCAACGCCGCGUGGAGGAUGACGCAUUUCGGUGUGUAAACUCCUUUUAUUAGGGAAGAUAAUGACGGUACCUAAUGAAUAAGCACCGGCUAACUCCGUGCCAGCAGCCGCGGUAAUACGGAGGGUGCAAGCGUUACUCGGAAUCACUGGGCGUAAAGGGUGCGUAGGCUGGCUUUUAAGUCAGAUGUGAAAUCCAAUGGCUCAACCAUUGAACUGCAUUUGAAACUGAAAGCCUAGAGUUCAGAAGGGGCAGAUGGAAUUAGUGGUGUAGGGGUAAAAUCCGUAGAUAUCACUAGGAAUAUCAAAAGCGAAGGUGAUCUGCUGGGAUGAUACUGACG
rnacentral:rRNA from 1 species